UGUAAUCUGCUGUCGCAUUUUCCCCUUUGUCCUUACCUUCUUCCCGUUCCCAAACUCUUCGCUUCAUCCAUCUCCUCCUGAGUCCUGACACCAGGAGCGACGAGAUGGCGAUGUUGCCGACCGCGAGCAACUCACCGUGGGUGCCCUCCUCAUCCUCCUCUUCCUCCUCAUCCCCCUCCUUAUCCUUUCUCCCGUGGCGGCGGCGGGCACGACGUAGCGGCACAGCCUGCAAGCGGCGCGGCGACACGGGUGGGGGUCCAGCGGCCUCCUCCCUAUCUCCUCGAUGUUUCCUUCGAUCGGGAUGCCUGUGCUCUUCCUGGCAGCGAGACCCUAGGUGUCAUAUGUCUUUCCUGAUCUGUAGUGAGGUCUGCCCUCACUCCUCAAGGAUUCAAUAUUCACUGGUGAUAUGCAGCAGCAAGUGAACAGGUGGACAAAUAGUAUAUGCACUGAUGGAUCUGCUUUCUUAGUUCACAAAUAUUUUGAUUGCCAGUUUAUUUCUAAUGUAUGGCUGUCUGUUUCUUCAUACCUAUGUUCAUGUUGCCUUUUGUGUAUCAUGAAAUUGGCUGCAUGGGUGCUCCAGAACAGAGUCUAUUACCACACAUUGAACAAAACCUGCAUAAACUGAGACAAACUCUCUCGCUCCCUUACUUUUUCACUCUACAAAAUAGCUAUCCCACACUUCCUCUAUC